rnacentral:rRNA from 1 species
GAGUUUGAUCGUGGCUCAGAGCGAACGCUGGCGGCAGGCUUAACACAUGCAAGUCGAGCGGGCGUAGCAAUACGUCAGCGGCAGACGGGUGAGUAACGCGUGGGAACGUACCUUUUGGUUCGGAACAACACAGGGAAACUUGUGCUAAUACCGGAUAAGCCCUUACGGGGAAAGAUUUAUCGCCGAAAGAUCGGCCCGCGUCUGAUUAGCUAGUUGGUGAGGUAACGGCUCACCAAGGCGACGAUCAGUAGCUGGUCUGAGAGGAUGAUCAGCCACAUUGGGA